UGUAGUUGUAGGCUUGUGUAGCAAACACUUUAAUUAUACAAGUUGGCCAUCUCAAAAACCCUGCAAUUUCACAUAUUCGAAAUCAACAAAGACGAACCCUACUCUCUCUCUCUGCCAUAACCAUGCGAAUCCACCACCACCUCCGUCGUCUCCUCCUUCUCCACCGCACUUUCUCUACACUUCCUCCACCAUCUCUCACAAAACCCCAUUUCUCAGACCCCUCUAAAACCCUCUACAAUCCCCCUUUUUUCUCUUCCCCAUCUUUUCUUCGAUCGUUUUCUUCGCAAACCCAACAACAAAACGAACAAAUUGCUCUCUCUCUUUCCUCUGAACUCCUCAAACCACUCUCUGAACACCCUGAUGACAAUCCCAUUUCCGUCCAUCAACGCCUUGACCUUUCUUUCUCUCACAUCACUCUUUCCCCUUCACUGAUUCUUCACACUCUCAACAUUUCUCCUGAUGCAGGACGUUCUGCUUUCGAUUUCUUCAAUUGGGUAUCUUCCAAAUCUCCCGAAUUUCAGCUUAAUGAUGAGGUACUUUCGUUUUUUGUUGAUUUUUUCGGUCGUAGGAAGGAUUUUAAGAUCAUUCAUGAUGUUCUUGUUGCUGGAAAAGGUGUUAUUGGGUUUAAAACUAUCUCUGCAUUCAUUGAUCGCCUUAUUCGUGCUGGCCGCACCACGCAGGCGGUGCAACUUUUUGAUAGGAUGGAGAGUGAUUAUGGGAUUGUAAGGAAUAGGGAGAUAUUGAAUUGUAUUGUUAGUAAGCUUUGUGAACAUGGUUAUGCUAAUUAUGCCGAGAAAAUGGUUAAGAAUCUUGCUAAUGAAUUUUUCCCUGAUGAGUAUGUAUGUGAUAUGUUGAUUAAGGGGUGGUGUGUUGAUGAGAAGCUUGACGAGGCAAGGAGGUUAGCUAGGGAGAUGUAUCGAGGUGGUUUCGAGAUUAGUACUGUUGCUUAUAAUGCUAUUCUUGAUUGUGUUUGUAAGCUUUGUAGGAAGAAGGAUGUUUCCAGGCUUCAAUUUGAGGCUGAGAGAAUUUUGGUUGAUAUGGAUGCGGCUGGUGUGCCGCGUAAUAGUGAGACUUUUAAUGUGCUGAUAUCGAAUUUGUGUAAGAUUCGUAAGGUGGAGGAUUCUAUGAAGUUGUUUUAUAGGAUGGGUGAAUGGGGAUGUUCUCCCGAUGCAAGGACGUUUCUUGUCCUAACGAGGGGUUUGUAUCAGGCUGCGAGGGCUGGGGAGGGAGACGAGAUGAUUGAUAGAAUGAGAUCCGCUGGGUUUGGUGAUGCACUUGAUAAGAAGGCUUACUAUGGUUUUUUGAAGAUCCUUUGUGGGAUUGAGAGGAUUGAUCAUGCUUUGAGUGUCUUUGCUAAAAUGAAGGCAGAUGGCUGUAAGCCAGGGAUUAAAACUUAUGAUUUGUUGAUGAGGAAGUUGUAUGCUCAUGGUCGCGUUGAGAAAGCAAAUGUUCUUUUCAAUGAAGCUGUUCGAAAUGGAGUACCGGUUGAGCGCAAGGAUUACAAGUUGGAUCCUAGAUUAGUGAAGCAGCCAAAGGUUGUUAAGAAAGGGAAAAAGAGGCUCACAUUGCCUGAAAAGACAGCCUUAAAAAGGAAAAGGCUCAGAAAGAUCAAUUUGAGUUUUGUAAAAAAGCCAAAAAAAAUGAUGCAGAGGAUGUAUUGAUUGAGUUCUCAUGCAAUGGCUCUGUUCCUGAACUACAUCUGGAGUUCUUGCUAUGGUACCACCAUAUAUCUAGGCCAUAAUUUUUUCCCAGUUGAAAGCAUGAUGUUUCAUUUCAUCUCUAAGAUAUUUCACGUUCGUUGUAUUCGUUGGCUUUUGUCUUCCAGCAUUAUAUUCUUUGAUGGAGUAGUCACUUAAGAGACAGCUUAAUAAGGAUUCUGUAAACUUGCUGAUGUUUUCAUUUAUUUCUUCGUCAAUGACUACACUACUGACCCAUACAGCAAGUAGGAGAGGUGAUCAGUCGUCAAUGCCAUCGACAUUUCUUUGAAAAGGUAUCCGAUCAAUGUUAAAGAUUGAUAAAGCAUGUUUAGUUUUCUUAGAGCAUCUUUGUUUAGAUGAUAUGAAUUAAUUCCUCGUUUUUAUGAGGUAAAAAUUUUGCUGGGUUAGUUACGAUGUGUCAAAUGCUUUUACAUAAUGAAAAAUGUUUAGGCUCUCAUGAAAUAAAAUGGAUUGUUUUGUUUGAUG